UUGUCAUCACACACUCAUAUCCUCACAUUGUCCCAGAGGAAAGCUGACCUCCCAGCUGUAGAUAUAAACUCGAUCCAGCCCUCCUCCGUGGGGUGACGGGGUAGAAGCUGCCCUCCGAAAGCAAAAACUCAUUUCCUCUGCCUCGUUACAAGACGACAUGAAGAUCCUCCCGACUAUCUCAGAGAAAGAAGAUUGAGUAUCGGCCUACAUACCUCUUUCACCCAACACCAUGGCACACGUGGAAUCGACACAGUGAACACAUUGAGUUGACUGUUCCCUCACACCCUUUAGUAUCCAUAAAUCUUUCCCAUGGAUCAGUCUGAACCCCACUCUGAGCAUGUUGGGCUUAAACACUGACACACAUACGCAGUAAACAUGUCUGCAAAAGAUCCACCAACAAAAAAAGUGUUGUAAAAUAUCACUUUAUUCUGUAAAAAUUCCCCUAAAUGCUGCAUAAAUAAAGGUUUUGCCAUGAAAUAUGA